rnacentral:rRNA from 1 species
CAGUAGCCACGGUAAUACGAAGGGUGCAAGCGUUAAUCGGAAUUACUGGGCGUAAAACGUGCGUAGGCGGUUUGUUAAGUCUGUUGUGAAAUCCCCGGGCUCAACCUGGGAAUGGCAAUGGAUACUGGCAAGCUAGAGCGUGUCAGAGGAUGGUGGAAUUCCCGGUGUAGCGGUGAAAUGCGUAGAGAUCGGGAGGAACAUCAGUGGCGAAGGCGGCCAUCCGGGACAACACUGACGCUGAGGCACGAAAGCGUGGGGAGCAAACAGGAUUAGAUACCCCCGUAGUCCCUGUCUCUUAUAC